rnacentral:rRNA from 1 species
CCUACGGGAGGCUGCAGUGGGGGAUAUUGCACAAUGGGGGAAACCCUGAUGCAGCGACGCCGCGUGUGGGAAUACGGUCUUCUGGAUUGUAAACCACUGUCCCCAGGGACGAAAAUGACGGUACCUGGGGAGGAAGCUCCGGCCAACUACGUGCCAGCAGCCGCGGUAAUACGUAGGGAGCAAGGGUUGUCCGGAAUUACUGGGUGUAAAGGGAGCGUAGGCGGGGAUGCAAGUUGGGUGUAAAAACGACGGGCUCAACCGAUAGUCGCACUCAAAACUGCAGCUCUUGAGUGAAGUAGAGGCAGGCGGAAUUCCUAGUGUAGCGGUGAAAUGCGUAGAUAUUAGGAGGAACACCAGUGGCGAAGGCGGCCUGCUGGACGAUGACUGACGUUGAGGCUUGAAAGCGUGGGGAGCAAACAGGAUUAGAUACCCCUGUAGUC